GGGUGAUUGAUAAAUAAUUUGGAUAGUUGCAGAAUAUUGGUGUAUAAUAGUAUAAUAGUAUUUAUGAUUGUUUAUAGAAUAUGUAAUAUGUAAUUUUAAAUAAAUGGCAAACAAUUGUUUUGCUCCUACGAAAAUAAUGGAUAUCAUUUGUCAUUAAAAGGCUAUAACCCAACGAAAAUUUAGGAGCCCAUUAAUAAAUCAGAUAGCAAUUUUCUUUUGGGCCGUAACAAACAAAAUUGUCUUCAGAUCGUUUCACAUAAACGAUUGAUUUUUUUUAUUGCAUAAAUGAUUUUUUUUUCUAGAACAGAUAACUCUAGAACAUUGUCUUAUCGUUUUCACUAAAACACACCGAAAAAAAAUCAGACGGUUGUUCGUAAUAAAAAUCAUUCGCAAAAUUAUCUUAUAAUCAAGAUACUAUGUCUUCGUUUAUCAUAUGUUAAUCGUAACACCGGAAUUCUACAAAGAGAGCUCAUGGGCGUUGAUUAUCAAGAACCUGAUAAUAUAUGGGUGAUUGUUCGAUCUAAGAAUCAAUUCCAAAAUUUUAUGAUAAUCAAGCUAUUACGUCUCCGUUCAUCCUUUUUUCAUGUCAAAUUCAUAAAGAGAUAAUGGUUUGCCCAACGAUGUUGCCAAAAGAAGAUGAUUCUGAAUAAAAUUAAAUGGCAAAUUUGAUGUCAUUUAGAAGCCAUACCAGAAUCUGGAAGCAAUGUUAAAGUUCAAAGUUAAAUUAUCAUGGAUGAGGCAGAUUUGAUGUUGCUUUUGUAGCAAUUCAGAAAUAUAGAAGCUUUGGUAAAGGUUAGUGAGUUGAUAAGUUUAAGAUCUCUCUUUAGUCCAUAGAAAUUUUAGAGUAUGUUAUCUGUCAAUAGUUACAGCCGUUAUCAAUUUUUAUGAGUAACUAUGUAAUUGUCAAUUAUUUGUUUUGAUAGUGACUAUUGUUAAUUAAACCGAGUAAGUUUCAAUAUACAACGGCAGACCGCUCAAGACAGGAAAUGUUGAGUGUCAUGAGCCCAAUGCCAAUAAAUCGUUGGCCAUUCCAUAGGUACAUGUUUUACUUCAAUUUUUACCCUUCGAAAAGAGCAUCAAACAACUUGUUUGGUUGGCUCUUAAAAAAACCUUCAUUGAUCUAAAUCAGCAGAAGACAGGGAAACCCAACAAUGGUGUCAAGCCCACAUACCCAUAAAGCACCAAAACAUGCACCUCGUCCACCCUUUCGAACCAAACUCGCAGAGAUGAAGCAAAUCACUGCUGUUCUUUUCCAAGACCAGACACCGUUUCCUUCAUGAUGCAUCGUUCCUUCUGUUCUCUAAAGGCCGACUUUGUUCAAACUAAUGGCUCCAAAGCACCCUCGAGUGCUCUUCUAUGAGCAUGAAUUAUGUCAAGCUGUUGCUUAAAACAACCUUACCUGAUUACACUUGCUGCAGUCGGACUCUUCAUAUUGGUUUCCUCACUUUAUGUUGAUAUUAGGUUUUGUCUUCAUUACAUUAUUGAUCAUUUCUAUUGAUGAUCAUCAUUACCUAUAGUAAGAAGCAUGCAAGAACGGUGCAUGCUAGUGGUGCUGCCAUGCCAUUUUCUUAGAAGAAUCGUGAAGAGAACAGAUGAAAGCUUUUAAAAGAUCUCGUCCAUAAAUAUUAGGCUAAAUAUUGGGCUAAUUUACUCAAAAGUCCAAUACGAUUAUUCUGCAGGAUCCGCGUAUUUUACCAUUUAUGUACCCGGGAUCCGCGCAUUUUACCGAAUUGGGAUCCGAAUAAUGAUCCAAGAUCCGCGUCCUUCAGAGUGCAAAAAUGUCCAUUUUACCCCUCAAAGAUUUCUUUUAUUUAGUCAUAGAAAUAAAAAUUUGUAAUGGCAUCCUUUGUAAUUCUUUACCUUUUAUAAGGUUAAUUAUUAUCCAAUGCUUCCCGAUUAA